ACCAAGAAGAACUCCUCCUCAUCUAACCCUAACUUCACAAAUCCAUCAAAUUAAAAGGGAAGUUGAGGUCUAGUUGAAUGCAUGAGAUAAGAAUGGUGAUCACCUAAGUGUUUCUUGUAUCAAGCACAAAGAAGGAAGAAGGCGCAAGUCACUCAAAGGCACAAUCAUCACAAGAUCGCGGUAAAUCUCAUGCUUGAUUGCGGCGCACUCGGAGCGAACACACAAGUGUCGACCUUUUACACGCUUCCGGUUCAUGUUGUUGAUUAUGAAUGGGUCAAAAAACUUCGUUUUGUCAUAUGAUGUUAAUUUGUGUCUAGUAUGUUAGUAAGUAGCUAGAAUUUCUAAAUCUUUUGGUAUAUUUUGUACAAAAUUGUUCAUGGUGAACCUUAUGGUCACAAUUUUGUGGUUUUGAAAAGUGUCGUAG